UACGUAGGUGACAAGCGUUGUCCGGAUUUACUGGGCGUAAAGAGCGCGCAGGCGGUCGAUCAAGUCGAGUGUGAAAGCCCCCGGCUCAACUGGGGAGGGUCAUUCGAUACUGAUCGACUCGAAGGCAGGAGAGGGUAGUGGAAUUCCCGGUGUAGUGGUGAAAUGCGUAGAUAUCGGGAGGAACACCAGUGGCGAAGGCGACUACCUGGCCUGUUCUUGACGCUGAGGCGCGAAAGCUAGGGGA
rnacentral:rRNA from 1 species